rnacentral:rRNA from 1 species
GCCAAACAGCUAGCUUAGACACAAGACUAACAUAAAUUUAUUAAUAAAAUUUAACUAACCUAAAACAUUAAACUAAAACAUUUUUUUGUUUGAGUACGGGAGACGGAAAAAACUAAGUAAAGCCAUAGAAAUAGUACCGCAAGGGAAAGCUGAAAGAGAAAUGAAAUAACCCAUACAAGCGCAAAUAAGCAAAGACUAAACCUUGUACCUUUUGCAUCAUGAUUUAGCAAGCACACUCAAGCAAAGAGACCUUUAGUUUGAAACCCCGAAACCAGGUGAGCUACCCCGAGACAGCCUAUAAGGGCGAACCCGUCUCUGUGGCAAAAGAGUGGGAAGAGCUCCGGGUAGAAGUGACAGACCUAACGAACCUGGUGAUAGCUGGUUGUCUAGGAAAUGGAUAUAAGUUCAGCCUCGUGCCCCUUUGAUCAAGAAGAAUUUCACCAAGACAAAAGAUAUACACGAGAGUUAGUUAAAGGAGGUACAGCUCAUUUAACCAAGGACACAACCUUUUCAGGAGAAUAAAGAUCACAAUAUUUUAAACCUACUGUUCUAGUGGGCCUAAAAGCAGCCACCUAAAUAGAAAGCGUUAAAGCUCAGACAGAAAAAAGUUCAUCAUUCUGAUAAACAAUCUGACUUCCCUAGAUGUACUAGACUUUCCCAUGCUAACAUGGGAGAAAUUAUGCUAGAAUGAGUAACAAGAAGACUUGCCCUUCUCCUAGCACAAGUGUGUGCCAGACCGGACUAACCACUGGCAAUUAACGAACUCAACCCGAGAGAGUAAUAUGAACUACAUAAAAAUCGAGAAGAGCCCAUAUUUAUUUUAUCGUCAACCCCACACCGGAGUGCUAAUUUAUAGGAAAGACUAAAAGGAAAGGAAGGAACUCGGCAAACGCAAGCCUCGCCUGUUUACCAAAAACAUCGCCUCCUGCAACCUCACCAAGUAUAGGAGGUCCAGCCUGCCCAGUGACUUCGAGUUCAACGGCCGCGGUAUUUUGACCGUGCAAAGGUAGCGCAAUCACUUGUCUCUUAAAUGGAGACCUGUAUGAAUGGCUAAACGAGGGCUUAACUGUCUUCCUUUCCCAGUCAGUGAAAUUGAUCUACCCGUGCAGAAGCGGGUAUAACUUCACAAGACGAGAAGACCCUAUGGAGCUUAAGGUAUAAAACCCAAUCACGUCAAGCAAAUCUAUUAAAAAGACAAACCCAGUGUUUUAUGGGAUUUUACCUUCGGUUGGGGCGACCGCGGAGGAAAGCAAAGCCUCCAAGUGGACUGGGAUAAACCCUUAAACCCAGAGAAAACCUCUCCAAGUCACAGAACAUCUGACCAAUAAUGAUCCGGCCUAAAGACCGAUCAACGGACCAAGUUACCCUAGGGAUAACAGCGCAAUCCUUUCCGAGAGUCCAUAUCGACGAAAGGGUUUACGACCUCGAUGUUGGAUCAGGACAUCCUAAUGGUGCAGCCGCUAUUAAGGGUUCGUUUGUUCAACGAUUAAAGUCCUACGUGAUCUGAGUUCAGACCGGAGCAAUCCAGGUCAGUUUCUAUCUGUAAUGCCACUUUUCCUAGUACGAAAGGAUCGGGAAAGAAGGGCCUAUGCUUUAAGUACGCCCCACCCCUAAUUUAUGAAGACAAAUAAAUAAAACAAAGGGGGGCUAAAAGCAGCACUCCUAUAUAAGGAGUA